rnacentral:lncRNA from 1 species
CGCCCGAUGCCCCCCGCAAAGCAUCCACUCGGUGAUCCACGGCCUCCACGGCCAGAUCUCAAGCUCUGGCCUCACCUCCAGCUUCCCAGGCUCCUCCUCCUCCUCCAGCAAUGGCGGUUGGCAUGGAGCAAUUCGACCUAUUGGUUCAGCAGGUCAGAGGCCUCACUGAAGUGGUGCAGGCCAUACAGCAGUAGCAGCAGCUGCAAGCAUCAGUGC